rnacentral:rRNA from 1 species
CGAUUCCGGAGAGGGAGCCUGAGAAACGGCUACCACAUCUAAGGAAGGCAGCAGGCGCGCAAAUUACCCAAUCCUAAUACAGGGAGGUAGUGACAAGAAAUAACAAUACAGGACUUUAACAGUUUUGUAAUUGGAAUGAGUUGAGUAUAAACCCCUUUACAAGUAUCAAUUGGAGGGCAAGUCUGGUGCCAGCAGCCGCGGUAAUUCCAGCUCCAAUAGCGUAUAUUAAAGUUGUUGCAGUUAAAAAGCUCGUAGUUGGAUUUCUGUUAAUAAUUUAUAUAUAAUAUUUAACAUAUUUAUAUAAUAUUAACAUAAUUC